GAUGAAGAACGUAGCGAAAUGCGAUAAGUAAUGUGAAUUGCAGAAUUCAGUGAAUCAUCGAAUCUUUGAACGCACAUUGCGCCCGCCAGUAUUCUGGCGGGCAUGCCUGUUCGAGCGUCAUUUCAACCAUCAAGCCCCCCGGCUUGUGUUGGGGACCUGCGGCUGCCGCAGGCCCUGAAAAGCAGUGGCGGGCUCGCUGUCACACCGAGCGUAGUAGAUCUCAUCUCGCUCAGGGCGUGCUGCGGGUUCCGGCCGUUAAACCACCUUCAUAACCCAAGGUUGACCUCGGAUCAGGCAGGAAGACCCGCUGAACUUAAGCAUAUCAAUAAGCGGAGGA
rnacentral:misc_RNA from 1 species